rnacentral:rRNA from 1 species
GACGAACGCUGGCGGCGUGCUUAACACAUGCAAGUCGAACGGACCUUCGGGUUAGUGGCGAACGGGUGAGUAACACGUGGGUGAUCUGCCCUGCACUUUGGGAUAAGCCUGGGAAACUGGGUCUAAUACCGGAUAGGACUACGCACUGCAUGGUGUGUGGUGGAAAGCUUUUGCGGUGUGGGAUGGGCCCGCGGCCUAUCAGCUUGUUGGUGGGGUGAUGGCCUACCAAGGCGACGACGGGUAGCCGGCCUGAGAGGGUGACCGGCCACACUGGGACUGAGAUACGGCCCAGACUCCUACGGGAGGCAGCAGUGGGGAAUAUUGCACAAUGGGCGCAAGCCUGAUGCAGCGACGCCGCGUGAGGGAUGACGGCCUUCGGGUUGUAAACCUCUUUCGCCAGGGACGAAGCGCAAGUGACGGUACCUGGAGAAGAAGGACCGGCCAACUACGUGCCAGCAGCCGCCGUAA